rfam:Motiliproteus sp. MSK22-1 scaffold76_cov3389_read212, whole genome shotgun sequence.
AAGACCAGGACGUUGAUAGGCUGGGUGUGUAAGCGUUGUGAGGCGUUGAGCUAACCAGUACUAAUUGCUCGUGAGGCUUGACCAU